GCUCAGGAUGAACGCUAGCGACAGGCUUAACACAUGCAAGUCGAGGGGCAGCACGAUGUAGCAAUACAUUGGUGGCGACCGGCGCACGGGUGAGUAACGCGUAUGCAACCUACCUAUCAGAGGGGAAUAACCCGGCGAAAGUCGGACUAAUACCGCAUAAAACAGGGGUUCCACAUGGAAAUAUUUGUUAAAGAAUUAUCGCUGAUAGAUGGGCAUGCGUUCCAUUAGAUAGUUGGUGAGGUAACGGCUCACCAAGUCCACGAUGGAUAGGGGUUCUGAGAGGAAGGUCCCCCACACUGGUACUGAGACACGGACCAGACUCCUACGGGAGGCAGCAGUGAGGAAUAUUGGUCAAUGGGCGAGAGCCUGAACCAGCCAAGUCGCGUGAAGGAUGAAGGAUCUAUGGUUUGUAAACUUCUUUUAUAUGGGAAUAAAGUGAGGAACGUGUUCCUUUAGUAUGUACCAUAGAAUAGCAUGG
rnacentral:rRNA from 1 species